UUCGCCUACGGGACGCAGCAGUGGGGGAUAUUGCACAAUGGGGGGAACCCUGAUGCAGCGACGCCGCGUGGGUGAAGAAGCGCCUCGGCGCGUAAAGCCCUGUCAGCAGGGAAGAAAAUGACGGUACCUGAAGAAGAAGCCCCGGCUAACUACGUGCCAGCAGCCGCGGUAAUACGUAGGGAGCAAGCGUUAUCCGGAUUUAUUGGGUGUAAAGGGUGCGUAGACGGGAAGGCAAGUUAGUUGUGAAAUCCCUCGGCUUAACUGAGGAACUGCAACUAAAACUAUCUUUCUUGAGUGCUGGAGAG
rnacentral:rRNA from 1 species